UCUUCCCCACUGUCUACAUAUCUUCCCCAACCAUCAGAAUUACCAUCUUCCUCCACCACCACAAACACUAAAAUCACCAACGAUAACAUCAUCUUUAAUUCUCAACCACCACCAUCGACGACACCACCCCAUCUCUACCACCACAAAGAUGCACCACCACCACAAUCGUCCAUAGCAUCAUGUUUCUCUAAUAGUAUCAUUGACACCAAAGCUAAACAUCACUACCAUUACAGUGGAUCUUAUGAAUGCCCUAAUUUAAUUGCGAUUUCUCGAAUUCAUAAACCAAGAGCUUCGGAUUUUGUGUAAAUCAAUUUUACGGGAUGAGAAAUGAAGAACAUACUCAAAUUGUGAUGACCAAUGGUGACGCCUUUGAAGACUUAGAAAUUCCAAGAAGGAAGAUGCGCCGCAUAUGAAAUACUCAGUGAUGAGAGCAAUUAUUGAAAGUUGAACGAGAAAGGAGAGCGUCGUUUCAAUAGGUUGUUUAUCAAUAGGUCGUUACAAAAAAGAUGUUGAAUGUUUAUGAAUUUGGAUAUUCGUCUAUGAAUGUAAAUACCUUAAUUUCAGUUCAAUUAAUAUGAAAGAAUUAACUUAAA